AGAAGGUAAGGCUGGCAGUUGAUGCCAUAUUGAUGGCUGAAGGUGAAGAACGGAAGGAACAGCUGGCAGCUUGGACAGCUGAUAAGAAGCAAAUUAGUGCGUAUGCAAUGAAUCUACAACAGAUUGACAAUGGUGUUACUGUUCCUCCAUCUGGGUGGAAAUGUGCAAAGUGUGAGAAAAAAGAGAAUUUGUGGUUGAAUCUUACCGAUGGAAUGAUCCUUUGUGGACGGCAAUGGCAUGGUUAUUGGCAAUAACCAUGCCAUUGAACACUACAACGAGACAAGAUAUCCUCUUGCUGUAAAACUUGGG
rnacentral:misc_RNA from 1 species